AUUGAACGCUGGCGGCAGGCUUAACACAUGCAAGUCGAACGGUAACAGGGUGCUUGCACCGCUGACGAGUGGCGAACGGGUGAGUAAUGCGUCGGAACGUGCCGAGUAGUGGGGGAUAACGCAGCGAAAGUUGUGCUAAUACCGCAUACGUACUGAGGUAGAAAGUGGGGGACCUUCGGGCCUCACGCUAUUCGAGCGGCCGACGUCUGAUUAGCUAGUAGGUGAGGUAAAGGCUCACCUAGGCGACGAUCAGUAGCGGGUCUGAGAGGAUGAUCCGCCACACUGGGACUGAGACACGGCCCAGACUCCUACGGGAGGCAGCAGUGGGGAAUUUUGGACAAUGGGCGAAAGCCUGAUCCAGCCAUGCCGCGCGUCUGAAGAAGGCCUUCGGGUUGUAAAGGACUUUUGUCAGGGAGGAAAUCCCUAGUGCUAAUAACACUGGGGGAUGACAGUACCUGAAGAAUAAGCACCGGCUAACUACGUGCCAGCCGCCGCAGUAA
rnacentral:rRNA from 1 species